rnacentral:rRNA from 1 species
UGGGGAAUAUUGCACAAUGGGCGCAAGCCUGAUGCAGCCAUGCCGCGUGUAUGAAGAAGGCCUUAGGGUUGUAAAGUACUUUCAGCGGGGAGGAAGGUGAUAAGGUUAAUACCCUUAUCAAUUGACGUUACCCGCAGAAGAAGCACCGGCUAACUCCGUGCCAGCAGCCGCGGUAAUACGGAGGGUGCAAGCGUUAAUCGGAAUUACUGGGCGUAAAGCGCACGCAGGCGGUCAAUUAAGUCAGAUGUGAAAGCCCCGAGCUUAACUUGGGAAUUGCAUCUGA